AUCGCUUCUCGGCCUUUUGGCUAAGAUCAAGUGUAGUAUCUGUUCUUAUCUUUUCCGGCUCGGGUCCUUCAGUGGCUUGAGCCUCAAACUUUUGAGAGGUAUAUUGACAGUGCGUUUUAUCCGGACGACUUGGUGUUCCAAGGUAAGUUAUUUAUUUAUUUAUUUAUUUAUAUAUUUAUUACUGGUU